rnacentral:tRNA from 3 species
GCGGGAUUAGUUUAGUGGCAAAACGACAGUUUUCCAAACUGUAGUCGGGAGUUCGAUUCUCCCAUCCCGCA